rnacentral:lncRNA from 1 species
CCGCCGUGCCUUCGACCAUGGCCCCUGGCCUCGCUUCCCUGGCGCUGUACGUAUAAUUACAUAAUUAAUAAUAAUCUUUCAUUUCUUUUCGUUUCAAUUUUCGUUCUAACAAAAGUGGUACUACCCUACUGCACUUUUUCUUCCCUAGCUUCCCUGCAUAGUUUCUCACAGUUCCAACACAGAGAGAUAUGUCGUCACGUCAGAGCUAGCUAGAGCCGACGACGUUACUGUUUUCACAGGGCUUGAGAAUCGUCUAGUUGUCCCAAUCUAGCUACAUCUUUGUUAUAUUUAUAAAAGUAGUUAUAAAUUUCAGACGAUACUAAAACCAAAUCAAUCAAUUUCCAUGACGCCGACGCUAUUUUGUAGUUUAUCCUUUGCUGUUUACGGUCGUGCUUCAUUUGACGUUUUCUGGCCUCCCAUUUUGAACCUUUUUUCUCUUUUUAUUUCUUCCCGGUACGUAGGAGGUGGACCCCAAUCUUAUUUUCCUACACUUCUUUCUUGUUGUAUACGGACGCUUACAUCACUAAAGGAGGUGAAUCAAACCCAAUCUGAGCUGAAAUUUUUUAGCUCGUAUUUUUUGUAUACCCUAACUCAAAUUUGAUUCAUUUGAAAUUUAAACGAGUUACGAAUAAUUGUUUUUAGAACCGAACAUUUAGCUAGCUGUUUACGAACGGAUUUGA